UAAGUUAGCAUAAGAGUAGCCAUCUUAAGGGCCUAGAAGCAGUUUUCUGAAGUUGUGACUUAAAAGAAAAAAAACUGGAACUGGGUAAGGCCUUGGAAAACAAGUUAAUCAUGAACACCGGGAUGGGGGCAGCUGUGGCCUUCAGUCAGCUAACCUUGGUCAGUUAAUCCUACAUACCAAGCUUAUCGUGCAGAACCUCUCUAACAAUUGAGGAGUGGUCUUACCUUGCUCUCGCUUAACCCCAGGAUGUAUGUCUUGCAAAGAUAAUGUGCAGCUGUGGAAAAUUACUAAGAGUUAAGUGUUUUGAAAAUGCCAUAUAAACCCUUGGUUUUGAGUGCUCGGGGUCCUUGUUGAGACCUGCUGCGUCGGGCUGACACUUGGACCCCAGCUAGCUGGUUCCUGAAUAAAUUCCUCUUGCUUAUUGCAUCAAGAGACGCCUUCUGUGAGUGAUUUAGGGUAGCGCUCUCCUCUGGGAAAAAUCCAACAUUUGGGGGCUCGUCCGGGAUCUGCGCUCACCCCGCUUCACUCCUGAAGUCGCUCUUGGAGGAAGAGGUAAGAUUAGUGGCGCCUUGGGUUGUCUGUAUUCUGUUUUCUUGGCGUCUUGGGUUGUCUGUAUUCUGUUUUCUGUUUUUCAGUGAGACCGGUCAGAAUUCUGAAAGGGUACCCGUUGUCUGGCAGCCGUCCCGGUCCCGUAAAGGGGCCGAGACUGCGGUCGGUAGACGUACUAGGAGCACCGCAGGCUGCAACCCUGGGGGACGCCUCGGGGAGGUUGGGGGGCCAGGGACGCCUGGUAGCCUCCCGUCUGUUUUUCCGGCAAAGUGAACCUGAUGAGAUAGGAUUGAUUUUUGGGCGCCGAGAGUAUCAACCCUCUGAUUCCUUUCGGUUUCUGUUUGAGACUCUGAGGAGAACUAAA